rnacentral:rRNA from 1 species
AACGAACGCUGGCGGCAGGCCUAACACAUGCRAGUCGAGCGGGGGAGCAAUCCCUAGCGGCGGACGGGUUAGUAACGCGUGGGAACAUACCCUUUGGUACGGAAUAGCCUCGGGAAACUGAGAGUAAUACCGUAUGUGCCCUUCGGGGGAAAGAUUUAUCGCCAAAGGAUUGGCCCGCGUUGGAUUAGGUAGUUGGUGGGGUAAUGGCCUGCCAAGCCUACGAUCCAUAGCUGGUUUGAGAGGAUGAUCAGCAACACUGGGACUGAGACACGGCCCAGACUCCUACGGGAGGCAGCAGUGGGGAAUCUUAGACAAUGGGGGAAAUCCUGAUCUAGCCAUGCCGCGUGAGCGAUGAAGGCCUUAGGGUUGUAAAGCUCUUUCAGAUGGGAAGAUAAUGACGGUACCAUCAGAAGAAGCCCCGGCUAACUCCGUG